rnacentral:rRNA from 1 species
GAGUUUGAUCGUGGCUCAGGAUGAAUGCUGGCGGCGUGCCUAACACAUGCAAGUCGAGCGGUAAGGCCCCUUCGGGGUACACGAGCGGCGGACGGCUGAGUAACGCGUGGGAACAUACCCCAAAGUGAGGGAUAAGCUCCAGAAAUGGAGUCUAAUACCGCAUAUGAUCUUCGGAUUAAAGGAUUUAUCCGCUUUGGGAAUGGCCUGCGUACGAUUAGAUAGUUGGUGAGGUAAUGGCUUACCAAGUCUACGAUCGUUAGCUGGUCUGAGAGGAUGACCAGCCAGACUGGAACUGAGACACGGUCCAGACUCCUACGGGAGGCAGCAGUGAGGAAUAUUCCACAAUGGGGGAAACCCUGAUGGGAGCAACGCCGCGUGCAGGAUGAAGGCCUUCGGGUCGUAAACUGCUUUUAUGAGUGAAGAAU